rnacentral:RNase_P_RNA from 1 species
UGGGAUGGACGGUCGCGGAAGUUCUCAUAGGGCUUCUGAGGAAAGUCCGGGCUCCACUAGGGCAGGGUGCUGGAUAACGUCCAGUAGGGGUAACCUUCAGGAUAGUGCCACAGAAAUGUUAGACCGCCUUCUAUGUUCUCGGGGUUCGGUUGGAGCUUCUGGGAGGUUCGUUGGGGAUUCUUUUGAGAGUUCAGAGCGAGCGCUCUAGGUUUUUAAACGAGCCCAACAGAUUCAUUUUAAGGAUCUGGAGGAAUCGGAAGGCAAGGGUGCAACGGCGGGGUAAGAGCCCACCGGCAGUGCGGAGACGUGCUGGCCAGGUAAACCCCACUCGGAGCAAGACCAGCAGGGGGUGUCUUCUCGCAAGGGAAGGCCCGGCGGCCCGUCGGAUCCCUCCUCAAUAGGUCGCUAGAGGAAUAUGGCAACAUAUUUCACAGAUAAAUGAUCGUCGCCUGUUCUCUUGCAGAGCAGGUACAGAACCCGGCUUACAGUCCCGC